ensembl:miRNA
CUGGGUGGGGGAGUCUGGGGUCCGGAAUUCUCCAGAGCCUCUGUGCCUCCACUUCCCAG